UGGUGAUUAUAGCGGAAGGGAAACACCCGUUCCCAUCCCGAACACGGAAGUUAAGCCUUCCAGCUCCGACGAUACUGUGUGGGCAACUGCAUGGGAAAAUUGGACAUUGCCAU
rnacentral:rRNA from 1 species